rnacentral:rRNA from 1 species
GACAGAGGGUGCAAACGUUGUUCGGAAUUACUGGGCGUAAAGCGUGUGUAGGCGGCCACGUAAGUCGGAUGUGAAAGCCCCAGGCUCAACCUGGGAAGUGCACUCGAUACUGCGUGGCUUGAGUAUCGGAGAGGUUGGUGGAAUUCUCGGUGUAGAGGUGAAAUUCGUAGAUAUCGAGAGGAACACCUGUGGCGAAAGCGGCUCACUGGACCACAACUGACGCUGAGGCGCGAAAGCUAGAGGAGCAAACAGG